UACGUGCCAGCAGCCGCGGUAAUACGGAGGGGUGCGAGCGUUAAUCGGAAUAACUGGGCRUAAAGGGCACGCAGGCGGUGACUUAAGUGAGGUGUGAAAGCCCCGGGCUUAACCUGGGAAUUGCAUUUCAUACUGGGUCGCUAGAGUACUUUAGGGAGGGGUAGAAUUCCACGUGUAGCGGUGAAAUGCGUAGAGAUGUGGAGGAAUACCGAAGGCGAAGGCAGCCCCUUGGGAAUGUACUGACGCUCAUGUGCGAAAGCGUGGGGAGCAAACAGGAUUAGAUACCCUGGUAGUCCACGCUGUAAACGAUGUCGAUUUGGGGGUUGAACUUUAGGUUUGGCGCCCGUAGCUAACGUGAUAAAUCGACCGCCUGGGGAGUACGGCCGCAAGGUUAAAACUCAAAUGAAUUGACGGGGGCCCGCACAAGCGGUGGAGCAUGUGGUUUAAUUCGAUGCAACGCGAAGAACCUUACCUACUCUUGACAUCCAGAGAACAUUC
rnacentral:rRNA from 1 species